GACGAACGCUGGCGGCGUGCUUAACACAUGCAAGUCGAACGGAAAGGCCCUGCUUUUGUGGGGUGCUCGAGUGGCGAACGGGUGAGUAACACGUGAGUAACCUGCCCUUGACUUUGGGAUAACUUCAGGAAACUGGGGCUAAUACCGGAUAGGAGCUCCUGCUGCAUGGUGGGGGUUGGAAAGUUUCGGCGGGUGGGGAUGGACUCGGGGCUUAUCAGGUUUUUGGUGGGGUAGUGGGCUACCCAGGGUUUGACGGGUAGCCGGCCUGUGAGGGUGACCGGGCACAUUGGGGGUGGGGAUGGGGCCAGUCUUCUUACGGGAGAAGGAGGUGGGAAUAUUGAACAAUGGGCGGAAGCCUGAUGCAGCAACGCCGCGGGCGGGAUGACGGCCUUCGGGUUGUAAACCGCUUUCGCCUGUGACGAAGCGUGAGUGACGGUAAUGGGUAAAGAAGCACCGGCUAACUACGUG
rnacentral:rRNA from 1 species